rnacentral:rRNA from 1 species
AACCCGGCGAAAGUCGGACUAAUACCGCAUGAAGCAGGGGCCCCGCAUGGGGAUAUUUGCUAAAGAUUCAUCGCUGAUAGAUAGGCAUGCGUUCCAUUAGGCAGUUGGCGGGGUAACGGCCCACCAAACCGACGAUGGAUAGGGGUUCUGAGAGGAAGGUCCCCCACAUUGGUACUGAGACACGGACCAAACUCCUACGGGAGGCAGCAGUGAGGAAUAUUGGUCAAUGGGCGUAAGCCUGAACCAGCCAAGUCGCGUGAGGGAUGAAGGUUCUAUGGAUCGUAAACCUCUUUUAUAAGGGAAUAAAGUUCGGGACGUGUCCCGUUUUGUAUGUACCUUAUGAAUAAGGAUCGGCUAACUCCGUGCCAGCAGCCGCGGUAAUACGGAGGAUCCGAGCGUUAUCCGGAUUUAUUGGGUUUAAAGGGUGCGUAGGCGGCCUUUUAAGUCAGCGGUGAAAGUCUGUGGCUCAACCAUAGAAUUGCCGUUGAAACUGGGGGGCUUGAGUAUGUUUGAGGCAGGCGGAAUGCGUGGUGUAGCGGUGAAAUGCUUAGAUAUCACGCAGAACCCCGAUUGCGAAGGCAGCCUGCCAAGCCAUGACUGACGCUGAUGCACGAAAGCGUGGGG